rnacentral:rRNA from 1 species
GAUGAACGCUGGCGGCGUGCCUAACACAUGUAAGUCGAACGUGAGGGAUUAGCAAUAAUCCUGAAAGUGGCGAACGGGUGAGUAACACGUAGGAACCUGCCCUGGAGUGGGGGAUAACCACUGGAAACGGUGGCUAAUACCGCAUACGCCCUUGGGAAUGGGAGUUUCUGAGGGGAAAGAGCGAUUGCUCCAGGAGGGGUCUGCGUCCGAUUAGCUAGAUGGUGGGGUAAAGGCCUACCAUGGCGAUGAUCGGUAGCUGGUCUGAGAGGAUGAUCAGCCACACGGGAACUGAGACACGGUCCCGACUCCUACGGGGGGCAGCAGUGAGGAAUAUUGCACAAUGGGGGAAACCCUGAUGCAGCAACGCCGCGUGGAGGAUUGACGGUCUUUGGAUUGUAAACUCCUUUUCUGUGGGACGAGAGAGGACGGUACCACAGGAAUCAGUCACGGCUAACUACGUGCCAGCAGCCGCGGUAAUAC